GCUUACGGCCACACUGCCUGGUUCACGCCCGGUCUCGUUUGAUCUCGGAAGCUAAGAUAGGUUGGGCCUGGUUAGUACUUGGAUGGGAGACCACCUGGGAAUAUUCAGGUGCUGUAAGCU
rnacentral:rRNA from 1 species